CAAAAAAUAGUUUAAAUUAAAAUAAUAAUUUUGGAGAUUAUUGAUGAAAUAGUGAUUUUUUUUUUGA
rnacentral:tRNA from 1 species